UGUCAGGGAUCAAGACGGGUUCCUGCCCUUCCUUCACUAGCGUUGCGUGUGUAUGAGGGGACGGUGUUUCAGACGGCAGAUUGCGAUAGAUAGAUAUGGGCAGUGAGAAACAAGAAGCAUGCAUGUGAACAUGACAUACAUAUAUAUUAAGGUUCAAAGGUUUUUUUAUUUGAAUUGCCUUUUUUUGUGUGUCCCACGAAGGGGAUGCAUUCUUAACUUUUUUUUUUUUUUUUUUUUCCCUAUUUCCAUUUAUUUUAUUUUAUUUUUUGCUAGCUGUUCUGGUUGUUCAUUUCAUUGUGGAGGAGGGCUCGCUCGAUUCAGCCCUACAAAGCAAACACGCGCAUCACAAUUAAACGGAUAAUAGUUACUCCGUACGGCUUAUUUCAAAUUCGGAGGUAGAUCCUUCGAAACCGGUUUUGGUUUUAGUUAGUUUACCAAAAAGCUUGACAACAACUAGCAUGGAAUUUUGGAAAGAGAAAAAGAAAAAAACAAGACAAGACAAAUACGAAAUGCGAAAAAAAAAAAAUUACGCCUAAGUCUGGACUCAAGCCACAAGGUAACAGAGGGAACAUAAUGUAUGUCGUCAAGUUGACUGGCCCGGCCCCGUGUGCUGUGGCUGUGUGCAUGCAGUCAUUUGUGUUUUUUUUGGUGUUCUGUUCUUGUACGAUACUUUUUUUCUUUCUUAUUUGUUGAUUUUUUCCCUUGUUAGGAAGGUGCAUAGCCAAUGAUAUCAUAAGGUUCUAUGAUUAUUUCCUGCAGGAGAUAAGGGAGAUAAGUUAGCUUCAACAAUGACAUUCGCUACCCCG
rnacentral:sRNA from 1 species